rnacentral:tRNA from 1 species
UGGUAGAGCAGAGGACUGAAAAUCCUCGUGUCGCUGGUUCGAUUCCAGCUUUGGGCA